rnacentral:piRNA from 1 species
UNGACACCCAAGCCUCAGUUCAGAUGAGCCAC